rnacentral:lncRNA from 10 species
CGCGUGUCUGCAGCUGCUCCGGGUAGCCCGCUAGGCGCGCCGUCCCCAGCCCCGCCGCCGGCCCUCGGUGCGCCCGGCCGCCUGCACCCCCAGGAUCUGCUCCGUCACCCAGGCUGGAGUGCAGUGGUGUGAUCACAGCUCACUGCAGCCUCAAACUCCUGGGCUCAACCAGUCCUCUCACCUCAGCCUCCUGAGUAGCCGGGAUUACAGAAUGCUGUCCAGUUUCAACGAGUGGUUUUGGCAGGACAGGUUCUGGUUACCACCCAAUGUCACGUGGACAGAGCUAGAAGACCGGGAUGGCCGUGUCUACCCCCACCCCCAGGACUUGUUGGCAGCCCUGCCCCUGGCGCUGGUCCUCCUGGCCAUGCGCCUUGCCUUUGAGAGGUGAGUGUCUGCCCUGCCGCAAUCCAUUGCCCCCGCAGUCGCUCCAGUAUGUGCUCGUGCCCUGUGUGCAAUUUGCCAUUGCAGCAUGUCCCGAGUAGAAGCUGGCUUUGCACCAAAGCGCGUUCCCUGGCUCCAGCCUGCCCCCAGCCGCCACCACCCACACUUCUGGCCUCUGAUGGCUGGUUUAUAGGAACACUGACUGCAGCUGGUUUAUAGGAACACUGCACUGCCUGCAGCCUGCAGCUGGGUAUGCCAGCAUCUUCAUAAAACAGGGAUGGGAGGCCGGGCACGGUGGCUCACGCCUGUAAUCCCAGCACUUUGAGAGGCUGAGGCGGGUGGAUCACUUGAGGUCAAGAGUUCGAGACCAGCCUGGCCAACAUGGUGAAACCCUGUCUCUGCUAAAAAUACAAAAAUUAGCUGGGCGCAAACCUGUAAUCCCAACUACUCAGGAGGCUGAGGCAGGAGAAUCGCCUGAACCUGGGAGGUGGAGGUUGCAGUGAGCCAAGAUUGUGCCGCUGCACUCCAGCCUCGGCAACAGAGCAAGACUCC